UACGAAGGGGGCUAGCGUUGUUCGGAAUUACUGGGCGUAAAGCGCGCGCAGGCGGUUCUUUAAGUCAGGGGUGAAAGCCCAGAGCUCAACUCUGGAAUUGCCUUUGAAACUAGAGAACUUGGGUACGGGAGAGGUGAGUGGAAUUCCGAGUGUAGAGGUGAAAUUCGUAGAUAUUCGGAAGAACACCAGUGGCGAAGGCGACUCACUGGACAUGUAUUGACGCUGAGGUGCGAAAGCGUGGGGAGCAAACAGGG
rnacentral:rRNA from 1 species